rnacentral:rRNA from 1 species
GGAUUAGAUACCCUGGUAGUCCACGCCGUAAACGAUGGAUACUCGCUGCGAGCUAAAGAUUGUUCGUGGCUUAGGGAAACCAAUAAGUAUCCCACCUGGGGAGUACGCCGGCAACGGUGAAACUCAAAGGAAUUGACGGGGGCCCGCACAAGUGGUGGAGCAUGUGGUUUAAUUCGAUGAUACGCGAGGAACCUUACCUAGGCUAGAAUGCGCGUGACCGGCUCAGAGAUGAGCCUUUCCUUCGGGACACAAAGCAAGGUGCUGCAUGGCCGUCGUCAGCUCGUGUUG